UUCUGGUUCACUCGUGUUCUCUUCUCUCUCUUCUUUUACAAACUCCAUCUUCACAGCAGCAGAUCUCAGUUCAGAUGAUAAACUCCUCCAGAUAUUCCUGCUCGCUUCAAAACUCAGUCACGACUGUGAGGACGAGAUUAUUACAGACUGUGAGCCCUACAACCUACUGCCACCUGAAUGCUACUGUGCCAAUGCUUCGACUAUACUUUGAAGAUGGAUCUGACCAUCGCCUCAGCCUCCGGCUUUCACGACAGUCCAUCAUGUCCAUCAUCGCUGCUUUGAAGUCAGACUCUGACCAUGGCUGGGAAAAGGAUAUUGAGGUGCUGGUGUUCCUGUACUGGCUGGCUCAUGCAGCAUCAUAUCGGGUUGUAUCUCUGGCCUUCGACAUCCCAAAGGCCACAGUGCAUGACAUUGUGCACAGAAUCAGCAGGGAAGUCGUCAGUAUUUUGUAUUCCCGACCCUGGACGACCUGGAGGAAGUGGGGGCAGGUUUUUGCUCAACUGGCUGGGUCUUCAGCUUUUUGCAUGGUGGCUGGUGCAAUAGACGGAUUCCACAUCCGGAUCAAGCCACCAGCAAGUGAAGCCCCAUGCUACUUCAACUGAAAGCUGUUCCACUCAGUCCAGCUGCAGUUCUUCACUGACCACAAGGGGAAGUUCAUCGACAUCUUUGUCAGGUCCGCUAUUGGCUUAUAGCCCGUUAGCAUCAGCAAGCAUGGCGGAUGAAUGUCUCCACUCUGUGCAGCUCGAGCUCGAGGCCGUGGGGAAGCAGAUUCGCGACCUGGAGGUAAGGCAGGCCCAGCUGAGAGAGUGGAGAGCCGCGCUGGAAUCAUCCCAGGCUGACGCUCACAAGUCCAGGGCCCGGUGCACCCAGGACGCGAUCUUCCCAGAUGUCCUUCACUGCGACGCCGGGACACCACGGACCCUGGGUGCAUCCACAGCGGAGGACGCGAGUCGGGCCCCGGGCGACGACUUCUCCGCCUCCUGCCUUUGAGAUCUCCAUCCGGAACCGCUUCGCUCCCCUCCACGAGACAGGACGCGACGCUGUGAUCAUCGGAGACUCCAUCGUCCGACACAUACCCGUGAUCCUGAAGGCCGGCGAGAGCCCCAGAGCGGUCGUGCUUCACGCCGGGGUUAACGACACCACGCUGCGGCAGACGGAGAUGCUGAAGAGGGACUUCAGCAGCCUGAUCGAGACGGUUCGCAGCACGACGCCCGCGGCGACGAACAACGUCAGGACCACUGCCCACGUAUCGACGAGGACACGAAAGGUUCAGUAGACUUUUUGCUUUAAAUGAAUGGUUGUUGUCAUGGUGUAAAGAACAGAAACUGCUAUUUGUUAAUAACUGGAAUCUUUUCUGGGAGCGUCCUAGACUGUUUCGCGCUGAUGGUCUGCACCCCAGCAGAGGCGGAGCAGAGCUGCUCUCGGACAACAUCUCCAGGACAUUUCACUCCAUGUGACUAAAGCUCCAGUCUGGAUCCAGAACACCUGAGAAGAGAUGAUGCUGACCCUCAGAGGACCCCAGAUGAUGCUAACCCUGAAUCAACAAACAGAACUAACAAAUAUUGCUACAAGUGUGACUGCAUCAUAUAACAAUUAUUAUUUAAUAAUAUUAAUAAUGUUCAUCGUCUAGCUGACUACGUCUUGUAUUAAUUUUUUCUAAAAAUCCUGUCAAACGUGCACAAACUGACAGUCACCAUCAUAAGCUACUACUAAAUAUUGUAGAAACAUAAUUUUCUGUAAAGUUGCUUUAUAACGAUUCGUAUUGUAAAAAGCGCUAUACAAAUAAACUUGAAUUGAAUUGAAUUGAAUUAUAAAGCCCUGAAUGGUUUAGCACCUCAGUAUUCAGGGUUUCUGCAGGGUUUAAUCAGUCAAAUGUAAGACUUUUUAAGACCUUUUUAUGACCAUUAGCAUUUUAAUUAAUGACCUACACGAAUUACGAUAAAUAACUUCAGUCAUUAAAAAUCCUUUCAAAAGUAUUUUUUUUUUAUUUUUGACUUUCAUUGAAAGUAACAAGUUUUAUUAUUUAAAGAGUUAUUCUAUUAUUUCUUAAGAUUAAGAAACUGAAGCCUUCGCCUUCUUUUUCUUGAGGAUCAAGAACACAGAAACACUUAACAAUUGUAACAUUGUAAAGUAACAUUGUAAAUUAACAAUUAUUUUAUGGCAUUACUUUCUGUUUGGUCACAGUAUUCAACACCCACAGGCAGGGGCGUGACUCUAAGCAGUAUGAUACAGUAUGUUCGGAGUUCGCGUGGGUUUCUGUGAAAGUCCUUCUGACAAGUCUGUAUGCUGCCGCAUGGACCUUGUAGUUCUGGAACGAUGUGAUACCAGUGUGAUACCACCCAGAUUCCUCAUUCAGAACUACAACAGGUGAAACAAAUUAAUGCCAUUGCCGCUGCGAGCGCAUUUUGAUGGAAGAACAAAUUAAUGGACUAGCAUAUCAAUUUAAGACAUGGCCAAAUGUCUUUUAUGACCUUGUAUGGAAAAUCUGACGUUUUUAUGACUUUAUAUAGCCUUAAAUUCUUAUUGUUAAAUUUAUGAUUUUUGUAUGGCCCCGCGGAAACCCUGAGUAUUUGAAUGAGCUCCUGUUACAUUAUAAUCCUCCAUGUCCACGGUGUUCUCAAAACUCAGGCAAUUUGAUAAUACCUAGAAUAUCAAAAUCAACUGCGGGUGGCAGAACCUUUUCCUAUUUGGCGACUAAACUCUGGAAUAAUCUACCUAACACUGUUCGGGUGGCAGACCCAUCUCUUUAACCUGGCUUACACAUAACAUACUAAUAUGCUUUUAAUAUCCAAAUCCGUAAAAGGAUUUUUAGGCUGCAUUAAUUAGGUAAACCGGAACCGGGAACACUUCCCAUAAAACCCAAUGUACUUGCUACAUUAUUAGAAGAAUGGCAUCUACGCUAAUAUUAGUCUGUUUCUCUCUUGUUCCGAGGUCACCCUGGCCACCAGAUCCAGUCUGUAUCCAGAUCAGAGGGUCACUGCAGUCACCCGGAUACAGUACGUAUUCAGACCAGAUGGUGGAUCAGCACCUAGAAAAGACCUCUACAGCCCUGAAAGACAGCGGAGACCAGGACAACUAGAGCCCCAGAUACAGAUCCCCUGUAAAGACCUUGUCUCAGAGGAUCACCAGGACAAGACCACAGGAAACAGAUGAUUCUUCUGCACAAUCUGACUUUGCUGCAGCCUGGAAUCGAACUACUGGUUUCAUCUGGUCAGAGGAGAACUGGCCCCCCAACUGAGCCUGGUUUCUCCCAAGGUUUUUCUCUCCAAUCUGACAUCGAUGGAGUUUUGGUUCCUUGCCGCUGUCGCCUCUGGCUUGCUUAGUUGGGGUCACUUCAUCUACAGCGAUAUCAUUGACUUGAUUGCAAAUAAAUGCACAGUCACUAAAAGUAAGUAAGUAAGUAGCCCUUUAUUGUCACUAGUCACAAGUACCAGCGAAAUUAGCCAUCAACCUGUCCAUACAUACAGAACAUACAUACAAUGGGCUAGACAGAACAGGAAGACAGGGAAUUGAGGAAGAAAUACAGCAUAACAUUAGGAAAGUGAGGAGAACCAACACCCAUACUAUGCUCCUUUUGGAGUACAGUAUGGGAACAUGAAAAAACACCUCAGCAACAAAAGCACAUAAUCACCAUAAACACACGACUUUGCAACUGGGGACAGAAAUUGGGGGGGGGUCGAGGUAAUCCAGUGCAGGCAGCAGCCAUCCUAACCUGCAGCUAAAAAGCGCUGGUCACAGACCCGCUUGACAGACUGGCGGUAUGAAGCAGCGAAGGCGAGGGAUGGGGGUGGGGAGGUGAGUGCAUAUCUGUAUAUGUGUAAGAGUUUGUGUAUUAGUAGGCCUGGAGAGUUGCGAUUGUCUUGUUGGGGAUAACAGUUCAAAACCCAAGGACCAGGUGUUGUCGUAAUGAAGACCAGGAGUCAGAGAUGAGUUCAAUUAAUAAUAAUAAUUUUACUUAAAGGAAAUAGUUUGCAGUUUAAUCGGCAGAAGUCAGCGUCAAUACUCUCGCAGGAGUCCGCAAGCUGCUCUGCCGUACAAUACAAAAUCAGUCAUAGUUAUACUCCAGACAAAGACUUUAGUUGCAUCAAACCGCUGGUCAGCAGCAAUCUGAUUGGUUCCAAAACCUAGAUAAACUUAGACAAUCUUCACAUAUGGGCAUACACAUCUUCAGCAUAUCUCCAGUGAUUAUAGCAGGCGUCAGCACGGUUGAAGAAGACACCUCAUCCUAGGUCUGGAAUCCAGCAAUGUCAGCCGCAUCACUUUAUGGGCGCACACACACACAAACCUUAUCUGCUAUUUCCAAGGUUCUCUAGCACUGGCAAGUCUUUUUAUCACUACGGUUGGUUACACACACAAAGCAGGCUGACAUUAAUCUUGAAGAAUAGAAAUACAGGAUAAAACAGAGUUCUUAAUAUCUAAUGUACAUUUGGACAUGUUAGAAUACUGCAUGUCUCCCUCGUAGUACAUAGAAGAGGCCCCCUGGUCCUUUUUAGCUGACCUUGUGACCCUAGGAGAAAGAAUACUCACACACGUUCAUGACAUGUAAAACCUGACACUUCUAGGAAGAAAUAAUAUGUUUCUGAGUAUGCAUGCAUCAAUCUAUAGUGUAUAGAUGGCUUUCUUCAUUUCAUCACAUCAUACAACAAUCUUGGAGGUUAAAUACUGAUCAAACACUUGAUUAAUAAUUACACAAUAUUAAUGAGAUAAUAUAUUUUGAAAAAAGGAUAUAAUCAGCGGCAGAAUCUCCAUCCUCUCCCUCAGUCUCUAGAUGCCUCAGUCCGCAGAUUAUACAGCGUAACAGCAAGUUGCCAUGGAGACAGCCUUGGUCAGGUCCUAGACAGAGUCAACAACAAUCAGCAGGUGUCUUUGGGAAAUAGGUUGAGGAACGCGGAGCGUCUCGUUGCCAUGCUUUCCAAGGGGAAAAUUUGUUAUCCAGCCAAGGCCAAGCUGGGAGUGGAGCCGAAAGAAGAUAAGAUACCAGUUGUUUUGGUCUAGUAGCCGCAUUCCAAUUUAACGGUCACUGUGAUUGUCUUUUUUGGUCUCCAAAUCCUCCAUCUCCCUUUCCAAAGCCGAGAGCUUCACUGUGAUGUUACCCAUAUUGCGGUUAAUAUUCUCAGUCUCAAUGCUGACCGCUCUGCCCACUGCUUCAAUCAUGACGGGCAGCCUUGUGAGGCUUUGGACAGCUGUUCCCACCUUCUU